CUCGCUUUAUUGACCGAGGGAGCCGGCGUACAGCUUCCGGGUCAUGUGGCCAGCAUGACCAAGCCGCUUCUGGCGAACCAGAGCAGCGCACGGAAACGCUGUUUACCUUCCCGCUGGAGCGGUACCUAUUUAUCUACUUGCACUUUGACGUGCUUUCAAACUGCUAGGUUGGUAGGAGCAGGGACCGAGCAACAGGAGCUCACCCCGUCGCGGGGAUUCGAACUGC
rnacentral:lncRNA from 1 species